GCUUACGGCCAUACCAUACCACCCUGAACACGCCCGAUCUCGUCCGAUCUCGGAAGCUAAGCAGGGUCGGGCCGGGUCAGUACUUGGAUGGGAGACCGCCUGGGAAUACCCGGUGCUGUAAGCU